AGCGUGGAGACAGGUGGUGCAUGGCUGUCGUCAGCUCGUGUCGUGAGAUGUUGGGUUAAGUCCCGCAACGAGCGCAACCCUCACCCCUUGUUGCCAACAGGUAAAGCUGGGCACUCUAGGGGAACUGCCCCGGUCAACGGGGAGGAAGGCGGGGAUGACGUCAAGUCAUCAUGCCCCUUACGUCCUGGGCUACACACGUGCUACAAUGGCCGGUACAAAGGGAUGCAAGACCGCGAGGUGGAGCUAAACCCAAAAAGCCGGUCUAAGUUCAGAUUGGAGUCUGCAACCCGACUCCAUGAAGGAGGAAUCGCUAGUAAUCGCGCAUCAGCACGGCGCGGUGAAUACGUUCCCGGGCCUUGUACACACCGCCCGUCACACCACGAAAGCCAGCUGUACUCGAAGUCGCUGAG
rnacentral:rRNA from 1 species